rnacentral:rRNA from 1 species
AAAGAUUAAGCCAUGCAUGUAUAAGUAUAAACGCUUUCAGCGUGAAACCGCGAACGGCUCAUUACAACAGCUAUAAUUUACUUGAUCUUGACAAUCUACUUGGAUAACUGUGGUAAUUCUAGAGCUAAUACAUGCACCAAAGCUUCGACCAGCGAUGGAGGAGCGCAUUUAUUAGAUCAAAACCAAACGGCUUCGGCCGUCCAUUGUUGACUCAGAAUAACUAAGCUGAUCGUACGGUCUUGCACCGACGACGUGUCUUUCAAGUAUCUGCCUUAUCAACUUUCGAUGGUAGUGUAUCUGACUACCAUGGUGAUGACGGGUAACGGAGGAUCAGGGUUCGGCUCCGGAGAAGGGGCCUGAGAAAUGGCCACUACGUCUAAGGAUGGCAGCAGGCGCGCAAAUUACCCACCCUCAGAAUUUGGAGGAGGUAGUGACGAGAAAAUAACGAGGCUGUUCUCUUUCGAGGCCAGCCAUCGGAAUGGGUGCAAUUUAAAUCACUCAACGAGUAUCUAUGAGAGGGCAAGUCUGGUGCCAGCAGCCGCGGUAAUUCCAGCUCUCAAAAGGCAUAGAAUUAUUGCUGCGGUUAAAAAGCUCGUAGUUGGAUCUGUGCUGGUGUGCCGGUCUCGCCUUCGGGCGUGUACUGGUUCUCGCACUGGCUUUCCUGCAGUUUUCGGCUGGCUCUCCCUCACGGGUCUGCCUGUUCGGUGCUGCAAGUUUACUUUGAACAAAUCAGAGUGCUUCAAACGGGCGUCUCGCUCGAAUGUUCUUGCAUGGAAUAAUAGAAGAGGAUUUCGGUUCUAUUUUAUUGGUUUUAUAGACUGAGAUAAUGGUUAACAGAGACAAACGGGGGCAUUCGUAUUGCUACGUGAGAGGUGAAAUUCUUGGACCGUAGCAAGACGAACUACAGCGAAAGCAUUUGCCAAGAAUG